AUGGCUUACCUUUUUGCUUAUGUGAGCAUCUUUCUCUUAGUUUGUGGAUCAGCCAAUGCUCAACAAGCAUCCCAGUUCUGUGCUUAUGCCUGGCAUGAAUUCAGCAAUUGCCUGAGGUUCCUUACAGGCUUAUAUCCUCAAUAUCCAUCACUUGAGUGUUGUGAGGCGGUGAGGACAUUGAACUUGGUGGCCCAAGGUGAUGAGUUAGCACCUGGGAAUAUAUGUCAAUGCAUUGAGGACAUGGCUUCUGUAUAUCGCAUUCCUUUUGUAGCCUCUCUCAUCCAAGAUCUUCCCAUAAAAUGCAAUGCUCAUCUUAGUUUCCCUAUUUCUAAUAGCAUGGACUGCACACA
rnacentral:lncRNA from 1 species